UUAUGGCUCAGGAUGAACGCUGGCGGCGUGCAUAACACAUCAAGUCGAACGGUGAAGUCCCUUCGGGGGCGGAGCAGUGGCGGACGGGUGAGUAACGCGUGAGCAACCUGCCAUACAGUGGGGGAUAACACAGGGAAACUUGUGCUAAUACCGCAUGACACAUCGGGACCGCAUGAUCCUGAUGUCAAAGAUUCAUUGCUGUAUGAUGGGCUCGCGUAUGAUUAGACAGUUGGCAGGGUAACGGCCUACCAAAUCAACGAUCAUUAGCCGAACUGAGAGGUUGAACGGCCACAUUGGAACUGAGAAACGGUCCAGACUCCUACGGGAGGCAGCAGUGGGGAAUAUUGGGCAAUGGGCGAAAGCCUGACCCAGCGACGCCGCGUGAGGGAAGAAGGUCUUCGGAUUGUAAACCUCUUUCAGCAGGGAAGAAGUCAGUGACGGUACCUGCAGAAGAAGUCACGGCUAACUACGUGCCAGCCGCCGC
rnacentral:rRNA from 1 species